GAGGGUAUGGCUCAGUGGUAGAGUGCAUACUUAGCGUGCACGAGGUCCUAGGUUCAAGCCCCAAUACCUCCA
rnacentral:tRNA from 1 species